CUGCGAUAAGCGCCGGUAAGGUGAUAUGAACCGUUAUAACCGGCGAUACCCGAAUGGGGAAACCCAGUGUGACUCGUCACACUAUCAUUAACUGAAUCCAUAGGUUAAUGAGGCGAACCGGGGGAACUGAAACAUCUAAGUACCCCGAGGAAAAGAAAUCAACCGAGAUUCCCCCAGUAGCGGCGAGCGAACGGGGAGGAGCCCAGAGCCUGAAUCAGCAUGUGUGUUAGUGGAAGCGUCUGGAAAGGCGCGCGAUACAGGGUGACAGCCCCGUACACAAAAGCGCAUGUGCUGUGAGCUCGAUGAGUAGGGCGGGACACGUGGUAUCCUGUCUGAAUAUGGGGGGACCAUCCUCCAAGGCUAAAUACUCCUGACUGACCGAUAGUGAACCAGUACCGUGAGGGAAAGGCGAAAAGAACCCCGGCGAGGGGAGUGAAAAAGAACCUGAAACCGUGUACGUACAAGCAGUGGGAGCACCCUUUGGGUGUGACUGCGUACCUUUUGUAUAAUGGGUCAGCGACUUAUAUUCUGUAGCAAGGUUAACCGAAUAGGGGAGCCGGAGGGAAACCGAGUCUUAAUUGGGCGUUAAGUUGCAGGGUAUAGACCCGAAACCCGGUGAUCUAGCCAUGGGCAGGUUGAAGGUUGGGUAACACUAACUGGAGGACCGAACCGACUAAUGUUGAAAAAUUAGCGGAUGACCUGUGGCUGGGGGUGAAAGGCCAAUCAAACCGGGAGAUAGCUGGUUCUCCCCGAAAGCUAUUUAGGUAGCGCCUCGUGAAUUCAUCUCCGGGGGUAGAGCACUGUUUCGGCUAGGGGGCCAUCCCGGCUUACCAACCCGAUGCAAACUGCGAAUACCGGAGAAUGUUAUCACGGGAGACACACGGCGGGUGCUAACGUCCGUCGUGAAGAGGGAAACAACCCAGACCGCCAGCUAAGGUCCCAAAGUCAUGGUUAAGUGGGAAACGAUGUGGGAAGGCCCAGACAGCCAGGAUGUUGGCUUAGAAGCAGCCAUCAUUUAAAGAAAGCGUAAUAGCUCACUGGUCGAGUCGGCCUGCGCGGAAGAUGUAACGGGGCUAAACCAUGCACCGAAGCUGCGGCAG
rnacentral:rRNA from 1 species